rnacentral:misc_RNA from 1 species
UCUCCGUUGGUGAACCAGCGGAGGGAUCAUUACAGAGUCGUAAAACACUCCCAAACCCAUGUGAACUUACCAUUGUUGCCUCGGUGGGAGCCUACCCUGUACCUACCCUGUAACGGGUUACCCGGGAGCGGCCCCACCGGUGGAAUUUUAACUCUUGUUAUUUUAUGUAAUCUGAGAGUCUUAUUUUAAAUAAGUCAAAACUUUCAACAACGGAUCUCUUGGUUCUGGCAUCGAUGAAGAACGCAGC